CCCGUUGCCACAGACCAACUGCCUGGUGGCAGCGUCACCAACUGACUUUUAUGAACAGUACAGCCAAUGGUCAGGUACAUGACCUGCCAUAUGCUGCCCAUACACCAGGACGACCAGCAUCGGGUCCGAUUCCAGGCACCAUUUCCCUUUGAUUCCCCAGGCAGCUGUGGACACACGACAGGUUCGUACAUCUCUAUAAUCUGCAUCGCUCUCUUUGCAUCAAAGAAUGGGAACAAGAUUUCAUUCAGACGAGGAUCUCUUUGAUGCUACAUAACAAAAUUCGCAGAGUCCAUAUCGUGUUAACAGGGCCAUGUGGCGCGUAUUGAGGAUAGAUCCAGCUACGGAAAAUUCUAACAAUUCCAUGAUCAGAAAAUUGAUGCACAAAGAGGACCUACUAACCUUUAUGGUUUUUGCAUAAGCAAAAGUGAAAAAGCUGUUUUGUGAUGUCAUCCACCGACACCUAUGCAAGUUCUGGCACAUGCAAAACAAGAACCGCCCAUUUUAUUACCUUGGACAGUGCAAACAAUACCUUCUUUUACCGCAAAUACUUUCCCUGUAAGACCAGAAGUACUUGCACUCCUACUCUUACAAAGUGAAUCUUAAAUCUGCUUAAACAAGAUUUACUUUUGUGAGAUAACGGUGUGCAUAAGGCACAUUUGCUGUUUCUUCGAAAAGAACCUAAUUUCCUGCCACAGAAGCGUAGUGUUUGGGGAAGGGAUGCCAGUUCAGAGCAUUGAGUCUUCUACCCAAAUUUUUUCUCUAAUGGGCAAAACCAUGUGCAGUGCAGGGGGGGCAGAUAUAACAUGUGCAGAGAGAGUUAGAUUUGGGUGGGUUAUUUUGUUUCUGUGCAGAGUAAAUACUGGCUGCUUUAUUUUUACACUGCAAUUUAGAUUUCAGUUUGAACACACCCCACCCAGAUCAGAUCUGAAUUAGGCCCAAGGUUUGAUGCAGAUGGUGGAGAGCUCAGAUGACGUUACACAUAUUAAUAAAACAAUAAGAUAGAGGAAUAUACACUAGGGUGCAUCAAACGCCCCAUGGAUUUUUAAAAGUAAGAAAAAUGAUUUGUCCCCAUGCUACAUUUUUUUGAAUUGUUAAGGAUAUAUUGCAUACCAAUUUUGAAGAAUUUGAGAUGAUAUUUA